AACACUCUAUGUGUUUCUCUUGCUAGGAAACAAACAAAAUAGAAGUGCAUAGUAAUAGAUUUGCCCGAAGGCGAGGACGUGAUAAGAUUGAGUUCGAAAGCCUUUUAGAUGGAUGAAAAACUCAAUAGUGUUUAUAAAUCGUAAUGCAUGAUUUUCUAAGUGUACCUAAUUACCUCUCCAACAAAUUAAGAUUACUUGAUUGGUCAAAUUAUCCUUUACAAUCUUUGCCACUCAAUUUCCAUAGAAAGAAACUCAUUGCCUUUAGAAUGCGUUGUAGCUUCAUCAAGGAGUUGGGCGAGGGAAGAAGCAUCAAUAUCCUUCGGGAACUUUGUUGCACUCGGUUUUUCAAAUCUAACGGGCUGCAAAAAGAUUGAUGGUUAUACAAAUCUUGGAAAGGAGAUGAAGGAUGGGAGCAGUGUAUUACAAGUGUUGAAUCUUGAGAAUUAUUUCCAGUCAACUAAAUUUCUUCCCAAUAUCAAAUGUCUUUAUGAUGUUUAAUUCCUCUGCCACUUCGGAUUUCUUAGAUCUCUCGGAGAGUGAAAUUGUUAUCCAUUGUCAUUACAAAGAAUUCCAGAAUUAGUAAUAUUACAAUUCAAUGGAAGCCACAUCAAAUCGUUCUAGAGAAUUGACUUGACUGGCUGCACCAAAAUGCAUGUAAACAUCUGGAAUUCUCACGUGCCAAGUCCUUUAUUGUGGAAGAAAGGUAUGCAUCUUUCAAGUUGACUCCAUUUUUUUCAGUUUUCAUGACUUGAAACCGUUGAGGAAUCAUCGUUGGUUUAACAGGGGCAAUAUCAAGAAGAGUUAUUUGAAAGUAAAAUAGUUAAAAAGGAGAUUAGUGGAAUUGUGUUAUAUGCCGUUGUGUUUUUCAAAAAAGUUCAUAGGGCAACAAAUAUUAUUUUUUAUGCUGAGAUAACAGGUAAAGACCCAGAUGAUGUAUGCAGUUGUUUUUAAGGCGUAGAUUUGGUUAAUAAUGAUAAGAAUACAUAGAAUUGGAGGCCGAUUUAGGAUCUUUUGAGCGGAAAGUUUUGGACAAUUUGAGAGUUGAAUUGUAUCCCAACGAUACUGAUCCUUUGUGGGUGCUGAUCUAUAAAAGUUGCCGAGCCAAAGUGGUAUAUAAGAAUGGAAGGAGAGCAAAUAAAAAGAGAAAAUGGAUGAAGCCGAUCCUGGAAAAAGUCCUCAACCGCAAUUGAGUUAAUGAUAGAUAACCCAAGGCGUGGUGAUCAAAGAUUCAGAAGGGAAAGUCAUUGCAAGCCUAAGAUCCCAACGGGACUCUUUACCCGACGUUCAGCUGGCAGAGUCAUUGGCAGCCCUCAAAGCAGUUAUCCUGUGUAAGCAGCUUGGUCUUGACCAUGUCAUUCUGGAAGGAGAUGCAAAGUUGGUGGUGAAGGCUAUACAAGACAGUAAAGAGACAUGGAAUACUACAGGCAUGAUAACCAGUGACAUCAAGAAUUUAUUCAGAGAGUUGAAUAGUUGGUCAAUUAAUUUUAUUCCUAGGAAUUGUAAUCAGGUGGCACGUAAUCUAGCUAAGGAUGCCCUGAAACUCUCUAAGGAGAACAUUAUUCUGGAGGGUUUACCUCCAUGUAUUCAUCCUUCGUGAUUAAUAUUAAAUCAGAUGAUUUCUUUUCAAAAAAAAAUAUAUAUAUAUAGAGCUGCAAUUGGAGGUGUCGUUGGACGACUGAGAUGGCGUUGCUGCGCAAGUUCUUUUUUCGGAAGCCGCCCGAUGGGCUUCUUGAGAUCUCUGAGCGAGUCUACGAUUGACCACCGGCGGGCAUAUAACUGUGAAAUCAUGCUUUCAAAGGUGAAAGUAUCAUUGCAUGACUUAGUGGUAAGUUUGAUGGCACUUCAAACAUGUACUUCUCCGGGUAAUUGGAAUGAAGGUUUAAUUUAGCCUAAGCUUCAAGUAGUACAGAGCUCAACUGUACAAAUCUUUAUCGAAACUAUAGUUGCUCAGAUAAAUGAACAUGUUCUGCAUUCCAUUUUAUAUAGGGCAGUCUUAGUUUCUUAUUCCUAGGUUUUCUUUUUCUAACUUCUCGUCCUUGUAAAUGAAAUUUUUUUUGUAUUAAGUAGUACAAACUGAUACCGAGAGUAACAGGUUUUAUGAAAUGUGUCACUUGAUUUUAGAAUCUCUCUUUUUUUUUUCUCAGUAGGUAAAUAAACCUAUGUGACCUUACCCUCUGACCUUAUAAGGGAAGGAGGGGCCAUUUCGUCAAGAGACCAUUGAUGCCAAUUGGUUGGUUGAACUACAGAUUCUUUUCAAUAAAAGAGUUCCAGGACAGUUGGGCUCAAACUUAACAUUUGAAAUAUGAUUAGAACAAUAAUAGUGGUGAUGUGUGCUAAACGCUUACAACUGAUAUGAACCGACAAUGGUUUGACCUAAAGUUUCUGCAUAGAUAUGUCAAACUUUCAGCGCAAAAGUUCUUUCUUUUCUUAGAACUCAAAGUUUCAGUAGUUAAAGGGACAAGUAUAGUUAUAUUAUUACAUUCGUAUGGUUAUCUUAUGUCAACUCUUCAGUUGACGAAUACGGGAUGUAGGUCAUGUCUUUAAUUUGCCUUGAGCAGGUUGUGUUAUAAUUGUUUUGGUGAUCAUAAUGUCAUCUUCCACUAUACCUCCAAAAACAAAAUGCAUCUCUCUCUCUCUCUCUCUCUCUCUCUCUCCAAAAACAAUAUUCUGUUUUGGACAGAAUAUUUUAGAAUCAGGUUCAACAGCCUAAAAACUGGACAGAAUAUCAAGCCUCUGGCACAACCAUUUAUGUCACUGUGAUCAGUAAUCUCGUGGAAAUAUUCUAAGAAAACAGGAGUUCAUCUUUUCUUUAAUUAAUGUUAUAGAGGGAACCCUUUACAUUAUCAAAAGCAAUUACACUGGUCAAUCUAGGUUGGGAUAUCUCUUUAAUUUGGGACUUCAGCAAUCACAAGGGUGUGGUCAAAGUUUAACAUGGCUUUCUGUUCCUGACUUGAAAUCCAAGAUGGAUUUGGAUGGUAUAUCAUGACCAAUUAGGAUAAACCCAAGGGGUUAUAAUAUGGUGGGGUCAGUGUUUUGGGAGCUUCAUUGUAUUGUUGAGUCUCCUAAAGAUUACCUGGACUAGACACUUGAUCAAAUAACACCAAAUAACACACAAAUAUAAUUGAAUUGAUUUGUAUCCAGCUAUUGAUACCUUUCUUUCUAUGCUUUAAUCUGCUGUGGAAGCUCACUGGAUGCAAACUUUGUUUGGAUUUAUUUUUUCAUGUUAGGCGAAUCGACAAUUUGCUCUAAUCUUUGUACAUGUGACUGUUUGUUUACCUUAGAAUUGUGUUUCAGGGAGAAUGCGAACUAGUUAAAAUAGACAUCAAUUGCCAUAUUCAAGGUGAUGUUGUGGUGGAGUGUGUUUGCUUGAAUGAUGAAAUAGCACGUGAAGAGAUGAUGCUCCGAGUAAUGUUUAAUAUAUACUGCUUUUAUUAGGUCUAAUAUAUUGAUCCUAAACCAGGAUGAAAUUGACAUAUUGUGGAAUGCUAAGGAUCAAUUUCCGAAGGACUUCAGAGCAGAGGUAUCUCACAUGCUAGAUUUGUUUAGGCAUAGCCUUUUUUUGGCGUCUUUCUUAACAUGAAAGUAAUACCUUGGUUAUCAUUCGGCUGAAGAUUCCCUUCUCUGAGAUGGAUGCCGCUGCUUCUACAGUAGCGGCUGAUAUCUCAAGCUUUGAGGAGGAGGGCCUUCCAGUGGAAGCAUUUGCAAAAGUUCAAGAGUUCUUCAGUUGAGGACUGAUCGAAGUUGCCAGGGCCUUCCAGUUGAAGUGUUUUAUUUAAAAAUUUGAAAAUGUUGUAAUGAUUACAUAAAAAAGUUGAAAACUUGGAAUUGAAAAAUUUUUGCGUCUAAAUGAUGUUUUGAUAUUGAGAUGAGAUGGUUUGAGAGAUUUGUGUAUCCAAACAAAACCUAAGGACACUUUUACGGCAA